rnacentral:rRNA from 1 species
CACGCAGUAAACGAUGAAUACCAGUUCUCCGCCGCGAUCGAGCGGAGGGGGACACAGCGAAAGCGUUAAGUAUUCCACCUGGGGAGUACGCCGGCAACGGUGAAACUCAAAGGAAUUGACGGGGGCCCGCACAAGCGGAGGAACAUGUGGUUUAAUUCGAUGAUACGCGAGGAACCUUACCCGGGCUUGAAUUGCAACCGAAUAAUCGAGAGAUCGAUUAGCCGCAAGGCGGUUGUGAAGGUGC